rnacentral:rRNA from 1 species
CUGGCGGCGUGCCUAACACAUGCAAGUCGAACGAGAAAGUGGAGCAAUCCAUGAGUAAAGUGGCGACCGGGUGAGUAACACGUGACUAACCUACCUCCGAGUGGGGAAUAACUCCGGGAAACCGGGGCUAAUACCGCAUAACAUCGCAAGAUCAAAGCAGCAAUGCGCUUGGAGAGGGGGUCGCGGCUGAUUAGCUCGUUGGCGGGGUAACGGCCCACCAAGGCGAAGAUCGGUAUCCGGCCUGAGAGGGCGCACGGACACACUGGAACUGAAACACGGUCCAGACUCCUACGGGAGGCAGCAGUGGGGAAUUUUGCGCAAUAGGGGAAACCCUGACGCAGCAACGCCGCGUGGAGGAUGAAGCCCUUUGGGGCGUAAACUCCUUUCGACUCGGACGAUAAUGACGGUACGAGUGGAAGAAGCACCGGCUAACUCUGUGCCAGCAGCCGCGGUAAUACAGAGGGUGCGAGCGUNGUUCGGAAUUAUUGGGCGUAAAGGGCGCGUA